rnacentral:lncRNA from 1 species
CAAGUGGACAGUUACAGAAGCUUAGCCUCAGAGCAGGGCCAGCUCUUCUUAGCAGUGCCCUGUGAGGCCAACAACAUCAUUCUACACCCAGAAAAUCUCUUUUUCUCUUCUGAUCAUCAUAAGAUGAGGUGGGGUGAAACAGCAAUAGAAUAACAGCGAUGGAAUUAAUGCUGUGCAGGUUUGAAGAGCAUUUGUCCUACUAAGGCCAAUUCCUGGGAAGAAUGAUGUGGAGGGUGGAUUUUUCUGCGACUGAGGUCUGCUUGGAAUACCGUGGUCUACUGCGAGUGGAUUGGAAACAAAUAAUUUUACCAGCCAAAAUGUACUAUAG